CUAAGAUAAAAGUUCAUUAAGGCCUUUUUAAAGGCAGAACUGAGUACAAGGGUUCAAGGUCCAUGAAGAUACAAAAGAAAUCCCCAGCAAACCAACUCAUAUCCAAAGCCCAAGGUUACAGCCCAAAGCCGAAAACACCCAAACCCCAAAAAACCGAGCCUUAACUCAAAAGAGCAUUGCCAGCCUCUACUCGGCUUAACAAAGUAACAACAAACAGUAGAACCUUCAAGCCGCGGGCGGCUCGGCAGUUUAGGGGAAGACAAAAUUGAAAAGCCUACAACAGAUGAACCAGCAGGACAACCGAUGCCACUACAGUUCAUAAAGAGGUUAAGUGAAGGCGCUCCUUGGCCUCCCAAUCAUGCCUUCCGGGCUGGCAUGCUGUCGGCGUCGACCCCGCGAGAAGCCACCCAAAUCUACUCCCUCAUGCCUAUUCAAUAGAGGAAUCCACCAGAACUUAGUCAUUGCCCAAAGCCAUGGCUGAAGAGGUGCAGAAGCACAAACCCAAACUAGAUCUGGAGAAGAACACAACUAUGAAAGUUAACCUGCAAUAACAUCACACAACCACAAGAAACAAGAACACAGAGCAUAAUUAGAGCUCAACAAAACAAUCAUACAAAAUUCCCUCAACGUUUAGAUCUCGGCUGUCCACAAAACCAAACCAAAAUUAUCUACAACCCACCCAGGUGGGAGGAGGAAAUCCACACCAUGAGUAAAGAGAGGUUUGCCCUAAGGGGCAGAGGAAAGCUGCUGGAGGUGCAGCUAAAAACUGGGUCUAAAACCUGGAUGUAAAAACGAGAGAAGUUUUUGUAAUUGUAAAGUUUUUUUCCUUGAUGAUGUGUUAUUCUGCAAAUUAUAAUUAAAACAAUUAUUUUUGCACUUGAUAAUUAAAUUCAGCAAUCUAGCUACCAUUUUCACCAAAAGUAACAAGUAGUUGAUCAAAAUAAUAUCGAAAUUUAGACACCGCAAG
rnacentral:misc_RNA from 1 species